rnacentral:rRNA from 1 species
AUUGAACGCUGGCGGCAUGCCUUACACAUGCAAGUCGAACGGCAGCACGGGAGCAAUCCUGGUGGCGAGUGGCGAACGGGUGAGUAAUAUAUCGGAACGUGCCCAGUCGUGGGGGAUAACGUAGCGAAAGCUACGCUAAUACCGCAUACGAUCUACGGAUGAAAGCGGGGGAUCGCAAGACCUCGCGCGAUUGGAGCGGCCGAUAUCAGAUUAGCUAGUUGGUGGGGUAAAAGCUCACCAAGGCGACGAUCUGUAGCUGGUCUGAGAGGACGACCAGCCACACUGGAACUGAGACACGGUCCAGACUCCUACGGGAGGCAGCAGUGGGGAAUUUUGGACAAUGGGCGCAAGCCUGAUCCAGCAAUGCCGCGUGCAGGAUGAAGGCCUUCGGUUGUAAACUGCUUUAUGUUGCGAAGAAUAUGACGGUAGCAUAUGAAUAAGGGUACGGCGUAACUACGUGCCAGCAGCCGC